rnacentral:tRNA from 1 species
GAGGGUAUAGCUCAGUGGUAGAGCACAUGCUUAGCAUGCAAGAGGUCCUGGGUACAAUCCCCAGUGCCUCCA